rnacentral:rRNA from 1 species
CAUGCAAGUCGAGCGAACAGACGAGGAGCUUGCUCCUCUGACGUUAGCGGCGGACGGGUGAGUAACACGUGGAUAACCUACCUAUAAGACUGGGAUAACUUCGGGAAACCGGAGCUAAUACCGGAUAAUAUAUUGAACCGCAUGGUGUCAAUAGUGAAAGACGGUUUUGCUGUCACUUAUAGAUGGAUCCGCGCCGCAUUAGCUAGUUGGUAAGGUAACGGCUUACCAAGGCAACGAUGCGUAGCCGACCUGAGAGGGUGAUCGGCCACACUGGAACUGAGACACGGUCCAGACUCCUACGGGAGGCAGCAGUAGGGAAUCUUCCGCAAUGGGCGAAAGCCUGACGGAGCAACGCCGCGUGAGUGAUGAAGGUCUUCGGAUCGUAAAACUCUGUUAUUAGGGAAGAACAAAUGUGUAAGUAACUAUGCACGUCUUGACGGUACCUAAUCAGAAAGCCACGGCUAACUACGUGCCAGCAGCCGCGGUAAUACGUAGGUGGCAAGCGUUAUCCGGAAUUAUUGGGCGUAAAGCGCGCGUAGGCGGUUUUUUAAGUCUGAUGUGAAAGCCCACGGCUCAACCGUGGAGGGUCAUUGGAAACUGGAAAACUUGAGUGCAGAAGAGGAAAGUGGAAUUCCAUGUGUAGCGGUGAAAUGCGCAGAGAUAUGGAGGAACACCAGUGGCGAAGGCGACUUUCUGGUCUGUAACUGACGCUGAUGUGCGAA